rnacentral:lncRNA from 1 species
UGGCGGCGCCUUUCCCUGGCCCCAGCCCUGGAAGUCAGCGGGCCUAAGAGCGGCCGUCCCUGAGAGGCUCCGGACGGCCGAGGCGCCGAGAGGAGACAGCCGGAGCGCGACGGGGUGUGUGUACAUUCGAAACUCCACUGAACCUUGAUUGAAGACCUACAGUGUGGCAGUCCAUGGCCUGGGGACUGGUAAGGAUUGAGGCCGUAGGAUGGGCUCGAG